CUUCAGACCCCUGAUAUGACUCCUCCCUCUCCGCUGCUGCUCUGUGUCCUGACUCCCAGGGUCGUCAGGGAAAGCGCACAGGCUGUCACCCUGCAGUAUAGUCCAGGGGUGGUUCCCGGGCUGACCCUCAAGCUCCCAGCUGCAGAGCAAGGGGUCCAGUCCCCCAGGAAAAAGCCUGGCUACCAGCCUAGCAUGUUCACGGUGAGGCCCCUCCACCCCUGUGGGCUGAAGGCGCCCAGGCUGGCCAAGGCCGUCCUGCCAGGACCUUGUGUUGACCGCACCAGGACCCCCGACGUGGCUCCCAGACGCCAACCCUGGGCGAGGGCUGCCUUCAGAAUCCCUGUUCCCUGGGAUCCGCCUUCUGCGACGAGGCUGCGAGGAGCUCUGUGCUGGCGGAGCAGGAGCGGAAGGCUGGCAAAGCCUCUGCAGGAGGCCACGUCUACUGCCAUCAACCUGGCAGCCGAGGCGGGAGGACACGGGUGUAGGUGGCCUCCAGGCACGUUCCUGUUUGUGUGACAUUCACCGUGACACGGAACAAACUGGCGGUACAAAGGGCUCCUGUGUUCUGAUAAGCCAAGGGCCUUGCAGGAGCUCAAGGAGAAGAAAGAGCCGGAACGCAAACAAGCACAACCUCUCCUGAAAGCAGACCCCUGGGCAAACACGGGGCCCUCGGCUUCCCGGCCGCACCCUGGGCUCUGCGGUCAAGUGCAGAUCAGCUCACGCUAAGUCGAUUCGGCUCGGCUGGGUUAAGUUCAAGGCCAUUGGGAGCCCAGCCCUGAGGGAGCGAGUGAGCCCAGGAGGUGGGGAGAGGCCAGGAUCUGAACCGUCGAGUGACAAGGGUCCUUCACGACACGCACCAUCCACUGUGACACGGGACACGCAGGGCGGUGCAGCUGUAGGCCGGGCGGUCAGGCCCUUCUUCCCAGGAGGUGGCGGCUGUUCUGGGCUUGGCAGGACGACAGCAGAGGCUGGACGGACGCAGGACAGGGAGGUGGACGAACACGCCCCAACUCAGCAUAAAAGCGUGUGGUGCGUUGACACACGUUGCACCGUCAAGCAGUUGGGACAGAGCGGGCUCGCGUUUGACCAGACUUCACUGAGAACUGAACCCGGCUCACAGGCGUCCACCCCGGGGGCGUGAGGGAACUGACCGCACACUCGCCUCGGGCUUCACGCAGAAUGAAGCUGGCGUCUCCCCCCACCGCUCAUGUGCCUUCUGUGUUGUGACCCGUAGCUGACACAGGUGGGUCAGGACGCCAUGUGCGUCAGUCCAGAGCAGCGGCAGGAAUAUUCCCGAAAACCAAGACGACCCGGGAAGCCAGCUCGGCACUAAAGUGACCGUUACCUUCAACACGUCCCACUGAACCCAAAACUGCCCUCGGCCCCUGAACACGAGGAGAGAGAUGGCUCCACAAAUUGACAGAAUCUCGUGAUCACGGGAGCACCUGGCUGCAGCGUGGAGGAGGCCCAAGGGGGACGUCUAGUGUCUGUGUGAGGCCGCAGAACUGCGGGACCCCAGGCAUGCGAGCCUGCAAUGUUGCUGGUGGUUGCCAUUGCUCUCACGUGGGGCACAGUUCACGCCCAGACGCAGACGGUGAGAGCUGCCGAGAGCCACAUCCCAGCGACGCCUGUUGUCAGAGGGGCUCCGAGACGGCGUCUCCACUUGGUUCCAGUCGGCAGUGACGCUGAGCACCCUCAGGAGCCCGGCGGCCCCGGCCCCUCCUUGUGAUUGCCUGUCCCGUUUGCUCUCCCCCGGUUGUCGUUUCCUAACUCUUUGGUCCGUCUGUCCGUCCGUGUGCUCUCCAUCUCGAAGCCCCACAGCAGUCGCGCCCAUUGCAGACAUUCCCUCCAGGCUGACCUUUGACCUUUGUGGUCCCUUCAGCGCUUCCCUCACAGCUCGGGGGGGUCUGUCUCUGGGCUGCAAAGGUGUCAGCCCUUGUUUCCUUUACAGGGUUUGAAAGGUUUGCUUUUCGUACGUAAGCCUUUAAAUCUGGCUGGAAUAAUUGUGAGCGAUGUGAGGUGGGGAGGUGAGCUUGUGUGUCUUUCCCACGUGGACACCCAGUUCCACUCCUGUAGUGUUUUCCCCACAAGUGCUCUUGCCCGCUGUGCUGUGCGCCUGCUUUCCCGGCUCCGCCCAGGGCUGUUCCUGGGCGUCUCUUCCACCCUCUGAGCCGUCGGUGUCGCCCUGUGACCGCACCUCUCCCCCCUCCCCCGGUCUCUGAGGCUGACCCCUGCGGCCUGCCUGCCAUCCGCACACCUGCACAGCCGCUCAGCCGCUCUCGUCUGCCUCAGCUCACGUCCCGCGUCACUCCCGAUGCCAUUCAGUUGUUCUUUCCCAAUGUUUCCAGCAGUCUCCCUAGAAGUCGAUCUAGUUAAUGUGUUUUCCCCAAAGAGCCAAUUUCAUGUGUGUAGCUUACUUUCACUGGCUUUUGAGUUUUCUAUUUACUACAGUGUCCACCUUCGAUGUUUAUCAUUGUUCCUAUUUCCUGUCUCCUCGUUGUCCACGCUCUGGCCGCUCUCAUUUCACGGUUUCUCGUCCUGUCUCGUCUCCAGGCGUCCUCAUCACGCUCCUCUUCUAAAGCGUCUUCACUCGUCCUGCUCCCCGGAGUGAGUUCCGGUCCAGACCGCUCACCUUGAGCCUGUCUCUCUUCACCUGGUCUUGCUGUGGGUGAUUUGGAGCGUGGGGCACCAGCUCCCUUUCGGGCGGGAUGCAGAACCCACGCAGGCUUGCCCCUCUGUCACCUUGUUGUCAUCGUGCUCCGUCUGCCAGUUUUGUCGUAGCCUCUGCCUCCCACUCCCGGCCCAGGCGUCUGUUCUGCUGCCCGACAGGGGGGUGUGGGGACUCACAGAGAAAGUCACUGCUCGGAGGACGGCUCGUCUCCCGUCUGCUUUGGAGGUGACAUCACGUCCUCUCACCUGCCGGGCCAGGGCUGCAGCCCCACUCACCAGGCUGUGCUGCUCCUGCGUCCUGAUUUGAUGUGUGUGUGUGAGCAUGUAUGUAUGUGCAUGUCUGAGUGAAUGAGUGUGAGUGUGUAUGCAUGUGUGUAUCUGUGUGCAUGCAUAUGUGCUUAUGUGUAUGCAUAUGUGUCUGUGUGUGAAUGUGUAUGCAUAUGUGUAAACGUGUAUGUGUGUGUGAAUGCGUGUCUCUGUGUAUGCGUAUCUCUGUGUGUAUGCACGCAUGUGUGAAUGUGUGUCUGUGUAUACGUAUGUGUGCACGCGUGUGUCCGUGUGUAUGCACAUGUGUAUGCAUGUGUGCCUAUGUAUGCAUGUGUGUGUGCACGUGUGUGUGAAUGUGUGUGUGUAUACAUAUGUUCACAUUUCCAUCUACGUGUCCUGGUUUGCAUUCUUUAUCUCUCAUCUGCUGCUCCUCUGUACAUGGAGCAGAGAGGGUGUGUCAAAGUGACUACUUAUUGCACAUCUUGUCAGGAGUGUAGACAUGCUCUUUAAACACACCCGUCGUCACGCUCACAUAGUAGGUCCCUCUUUCUUGAUGCUGAAUCUGAAGUUAAGUAGCCUAACCCAGGAGGGCCAGCUGUAACCAAGCCCGUGGCUCUAAGGUCCAGCCCACAUCCUCUCUGGCAGCGAGCUGGUCAGCCCAGCCUGCGGUGACGGGCGGGAGGGGGGCCGCUGGCACCGCUCACGUCCCUCGGUGCCUCUGCUCACGGAAGCCUCCACUCCUGCACUCCGACUGCCCCUCCUCGAUGCUGCCUGCAGAUCCGUCCCUCUAGAUGGUGGCGCUGCCUCGAUGACCCUUCGUGGUUAACCAGAGCCGUUCAGCAACGUCCAACAAUACUGACAUUUCAUCUGCUCCACUGCGGAACUGGCCACGGUUUAUGGCCAGGAAGGGAUUGUCAAUUGUCUGUGCCAAGUUCCCGUGGGACCCUGGGCCAGCGGGUAUAAAGGGUGGCUGUGUGAGAGGCCGGCACAGCCUCUCCGACCCCAGCAAGUGACCUGUCAGGUGGCCGUGAGCACAGACCCCUGGAGAUGAAGACCCUGCUCCUGACCAUCGGCCUCAGCCUCAUUGCUGCCCUGCAGGCCAAGGACCCCCUGGCCUUGGGCGAGGAGACUCCGGACGUGAGGCUCAGAUGGGGCAGGCUGGCUGGAGGCGGCGUGGGGAGGGGCAGAGACACUCAUUUUAGGAUCAGGCAUUAACCCCUGGCCCUGAGGGAAUGGUCAGACAGAGGAGUCUGUGCCCGAUGGUCCCAGGAUGCAGAGGGCCCCUGGGAGCAAGGGCACCGGUGGUCUCGCUGACCUGCAGGGGCCCGGAGCCGGCAUCUGGGUGGGUCUGGCGAGG
rnacentral:lncRNA from 1 species